rnacentral:misc_RNA from 1 species
CAUCAAUGCUACUAGCAAGUACCUGCAAAUUCAUAUCCAAGGAAGCUAUCAAAAUAAGAAUAUGAUGUAAAGCUCACACUUACGGCAUAAGAAAAGAAAAAAAAAUAACAGAAAAAGUUUGUAAAGCAUAAAUUGGAGUAGAGAGAUGUUUGAGAUACGAACCAUAAUGGAGCAUAUGGUAAUGACAAGUCAAGAAAUGGAUAUGACCACCUGAAGCAU